rnacentral:rRNA from 1 species
CCUACGGGAGGCAGCAGUGGGGAAUAUUGGACAAUGGGCGAAAGCCUGAUCCAGCAAUUCCGCGUGUGUGAAGAAGGCCUUCGGGUUGUAAAGCACUUUAGGUUGGGAAGAAAAAGCUCCGGUGAAUAUCCGGAGUGUUGACGGUACCAACAGAAUAAGCACCGGCUAACUCUGUGCCAGCAGCCGCGGUAAUACAGAGGGUGCAAGCGUUAAUCGGAUUUACUGGGCGUAAAGCGUGCGCAGGUGGUUUCGUAAGUCGGAUGUGAAAGCCCCGGGCUCAACCUGGGAACUGCGUUCGAUACUGCGAGACUAGAGUUUGGUAGAGGGUGGCGGAAUUCCCGGUGUAGCGGUGAAAUGCGUAGAUAUCGGGAGGAACAUCAAUGGCGAAGGCAGCCACCUGGGCCUGAACUGACACUGAGGCACGAAAGCGUGGGUAGCAAACAGGAUUAGAUACCCUGGUAGUCCACGCCGUAAACGAUGAGAACUUGACGUCGGCCCGUUUUACGAGUCGGUGUCGUAGCUAACGCGAUAAGUUCUCCGCCUGGGGGAGGACGGCCGCGAGUAGAACGUAACGUAAGAAGUUAGAGCGUUGAGACGNGCGACGGCGACGACGAGGGAGGAGG